rnacentral:rRNA from 1 species
UACGGAGGGGGCAAGCGUUAUCCGGAUUCACUGGGUUUAAAGGGUGCGUAGGCGGGUAAGUAAGUCCGUGGUGAAAUCUCUGAGCUUAACUCAGAAACUGCCGUGGAUACUAUUUGCCUUGAAUAUUGUGGAGGUGAGCGGAAUAUGUCAUGUAGCGGUGAAAUGCUUAGAUAUGACAUAGAACACCAAUUGCGAAGGCAGCUCACUACACAAUCAUUGACGCUGAGGCACGAAAGCGUGGGGAUCAAACAGG